GGCCCAGUGGCCUAAUGGAGAAGGCAUCAGUCUUCGGAGCUGAAGAUUGUGGGUUUGAGUCCCAUCUGGGUCG